CUCCCUCAGAUGCGCGCGAGGACCUGGUAGCCCAGGUCGAUCAGUUCCUACGAGAGGCCCUCGAGAAGCCAAGGGAGAGGCUUUCUGUGCUAAGAAUGGAGCAAGAAAUUUUGAAGUUCAUUCAUGACCCUAGUCGUACAGAGUAUGAAUUCAAUGGCCUUCCAACUUCGUAUCUGCGUCUUGCUGC